rnacentral:rRNA from 1 species
UACGAAGGGUGCAAGCGUUACUCGGAAUUACUGGGCGUAAAGGGUGCGUAGGUGGUUGUUUAAGUCUGCUGUGAAAGCCCCGGGCUCAACCUGGGAAUGGCAGUGGAUACUGGACAGCUAGAGUGCGGUAGAGGGUAGUGGAAUUCCCGGUGUAGCAGUGAAAUGCGUAGAUAUCGGAAGGAACAUCAGUGGCGAAAGCGACUUCCUGGACCAAUACUGACGCUCAUGUGCGAAAGCGUGGGGAGCAAACAGG